CAGGUCACUCCUACGGGAGGCAGCAGUGGGGAAUAUUGGACAAUGGGCGCAAGCCUGAUCCAGCAAUGCCGCGUGUGUGAAGAAGGCCUUCGGGUUGUAAAGCACUUUUAUCAGGAGCGAAAUACUACUGGCUAAUAACCGGUGGGGCUGACGGUACCUGAGGAAUAAGCACCGGCUAACUUCGUGCCAGCAGCCGCGGUAAUACGAAGGGUGCAAGCGUUAAUCGGAAUUACUGGGCGUAAAGCGUGCGUAGGCGGUGAGUUAAGUCUGUUGUGAAAUCCCCGGGCUCAACCUGGGAAUGGCAAUGGAUACUGGCUCGCUAGAGUGUGAUAGAGGAUGGUGGAAUUCCCGGUGUAGCGGUGAAAUGCGUAGAGAUCGGGAGGAACAUCAGUGGCGAAGGCGGCCAUCUGGAUCAACACUGACGCUGAGGCACGAAAGCGUGGGGAGCAAACAGGAUUAGAUACCCUGGUAGUCCACGCCCUAAACGAUGCGAACUGGAUGUUGGUCUCAACUCGGAGAUCAGUGUCGAAGCUAACGCGUUAAGUUCGCCGCCUGGGGAGUACGGUCGCAAGACUGAAACUCAAAGGAAUUGAG
rnacentral:rRNA from 1 species